rnacentral:rRNA from 1 species
UCAGACGUGAUCACCCGCUGAACUUAAGCAUAUC